rnacentral:rRNA from 1 species
UAGUUGGAUUUCUGUUGAGGACGGCCGGUCCGCACUAUGUGCGUGUAUCUGGUUCGGCCUCGGCAUCCUCUUGAGGAACGUUUCUGCGCUUGAUUGCGUGGAGCGGUAUUCAAGACUUUUACUUUGAGGAAAUUAGAGUGUUCACGGCAGGCAAGCGCCUUGAAUAUGUUAGCAUGGAAUAAUAAUAUAGGAUCUUGGUUCUAUUUGUUGGUUUCUAGGGCUAAGGUAAUGAUUAAUAGGGAUAAUUGGGGGCAUUUGUAUUAACGCGUCAGAGGUGGAAUUCUUGGAUUGCGUUACGACAAACUACUGCGAAAGCACUUGCCAAGGAUGUUUUCAUUGAUCAAGAACGAAAGUAUGGGGAUCGAAGAUGAUUAGAUACCGUCGUAGUCUAUACCAUAAACUAUGCCGACUAGGGAUUGGAGGUCGUUCUUUUUAUGACUCCUUCAGCACCUUAUGAGAAAUCAAAGUCUUUGGGUUCCGGGGGGAGUAUAGUCGCAAGGCUGAAACUUAAAGGAAUUGACGGAAGGGCACCACCAGGAGUGGAGCCUGCGGCUUAAUUUGACUCAACACGGGG